UAUUACACUUGCACUGGGUGAAAGACCCCUGAAGUAGGGAGACCCUCACUCAAGUCUUGGGAUGAUGCGACCCCCCAAGGACUCACGAGAGACU
rnacentral:pre_miRNA from 14 species